rnacentral:tRNA from 1 species
GCCUUGGUGGUGAAAUGGUAGACACGCGAGACUCAAAAUCUCGUGCUACAGAGCGUGGAGGUUCGAGUCCUCUUCGGCUGGGGCA